GAUGAACGCUAGCGACAGGCUUAACACAUGCAAGUCGAGGGGCAGCAUAAAAAUCAGCUUGCUGAUUUUGGUGGCGACCGGCGCACGGGUGAGUAACGCGUAUGCAACCUACCUAUCAGAGGGGGAUAGCCCAUUGAAAGAUGGAUUAAUACCGCAUAAAACAGGGGUCCCGCAUGGGAAUAUUUGUUAAAGAUUUAUUGCUGAUAGAUGGGCAUGCGUUCCAUUAGUUAGUUGGUAAGGUAACGGCUUACCAAGACAUCGAUGGAUAGGGGUUCUGAGAGGAAGGUCACCCACACUGGUACUGAGACACGGACCAGACUCCUACGGGAGGCAGCAGUGAGGAAUAUUGGUCAAUGGGCGAGAGCCUGAACCAGCCAAGUCGCGUGAAGGAUGACUGCCCUAUGGGUUGUAAACUUCUUUUAUUGGGGAAUAAAAAAGGUCACGUGUGGCUUAUUGUAUGUACCCAAUGAAUAAGCAUCGGCUAACUCCGUGCCAGCCGCCGCUGUAAUAC
rnacentral:rRNA from 1 species